rnacentral:tRNA from 1 species
AAGAAUUUAAGUUAAUUCAAACUAUUGACCUUCAAAGUCAAACAUAGGCCAUUAAUCCUAAUUCUUA